AUGCCCCAGACUGUGAGUUGCAACAUAUGCUGUUGCGCAUCAAUAGCUUUCAGCAGAUUAUUCUGCUGUUGCACUAUACCAGACAAUAAUUGUCUGGCCUGUACCGUCAGCGUUAGUGACGCUGCGCCCAUAGUGCUUCCUGCUGCUCCCAAGAACCCAAGGAACAUAGCUCCUAUUGUUCCCACUGCUCUUUUUUCUCUCUGCACCACUCUUCUCUUUGCCUUGGUGGGUGCUAUUCCUAAUGGUUCAAUUUUUACUACUUUAUACUUGUAUAAUUCACUUCUCCAAUUGUCCCUCAUGUCUCCUCCUCCAGGUCUGAAGAUUUCAGUAUCAUUGUCAGUUUUAUUAAGACCACCAUCUCUUACUAGUAUCAGCCCUGUAAUAAUUGAUGAACAGCUGAUGUUUCCUCUGAUAGGAGGGGCAUACAUUGCUUUUCCUACUGUCUGCCACAUGUUUAUAAUUUGUUUUAUUCUGCAUGGGAGUGUGAUAAUUUUUCCAUCAUUGGUGCUAUUUAACUCUUCCCAAGUAUUAUUACCAUCCCAAGUACUAUUAAACAGUCGGCUUGUAUUACAGUAGAAAAAUUCCCCUCCACAGUUAAAACUGUGUUGUGUAAUUUCUAGGUCCCCUCCUGAGGAUUGAUUAAAUUUUAUUGUUUUAUUUUUAAAUUGGUCUCUUAAUUUCUAGCUACCUGCUGCAAUGUUGCAUUCCAUUGAGCUUGAGAUAUGCUACAAUGUGCUGCUCUUAUGUCUCCUAUUAUAUCUCCUGUUGCAUAAAAUGCCCUCCCGGGUCCUAUAUGUAUACUCUUUCUUGUAUUGUUGUUGGGUCUUGUACAGUUUAUCUCCACAGAUCUAUUCAACUGUACUAUUAUGACCUUAGCAUUGUCUGAAAAGUUUUUAGAUCUAAUCAUUACCUCAUCUUCUGCUAGACUGCC
rnacentral:antisense_RNA from 1 species